AGGAUCCUACUGUCUCCCCCCUCUAAUCAGUGAAACUGAUCUCCCCGUGAAGAAGCGGGGAUAUACAUAUAAGACGAGAAGACCCCAUGGAGCUUUAAACCUGACAGCACCCGCUCAUUCUAUACCCCAUUAUUUGCCCGACCCCUGUCUGCUCAGUUUUAGGUUGGGGUGACCACGGAGUAUAAAAUAACCUCCAUGAAGAAGGGGAUAUUUCCCUUAUUAGAGAACCACACUUCCAAGAACUAAUAAAUUAAUUUUCAAUGACCCGAUACCAGAUAAUCGAUCAACGAACCAAGUUACCCUGGGGAUAACAGCGCAAUCCACCCUGAAAGCCCUUAUUAACAGGUGGGUUUACGACCUCGAUGUUGGAUCAGGGUAUCCCAGUGGUGCAGCAGCUACUGAGGGUUCGUUUGUUCAACGAUUAAAACCCU
rnacentral:rRNA from 1 species